GAUGUCGAUGUCACUGCAUUGCAUAUAUAUAUAUUUAAGUUUUGCAUUUCUGUAUUGUAAAUAAAGAUAUUUAAAUGGAUAUUUAAUCUGGAUUAAUUUGAUCACUAUAAUUUCAAAAACUUCAGCCAUUGCCAAACUUUUCAAUAAAGCUAAAAAAAUAUAACAACUUUUCGAAGAUCAUUCCAAACAUUCAAGAUAUAUUAUAUCUUUUAGAGAUAAAAUGCAAUUUCUGAUUCUAUUCUUAGAACUACAAAAUCUUUUUAUAGAAAAUUUCUUAUGUCGGUUGUUCUAUUGUGGUCCAAUACUACUUCUAUUUUGAGCAAUAGACUAAAUUUUUUAAUUUUAUUAAAUAUUUAUAAUAUCUUAAUAAAGUUUGAUAUUAUUACCGGUUUAUAACAUCUUUCUAAAGUUUUUGGAAUAUCUUCAUGAAUUUGAUAUCUAAAUUGUAUAAGGAUACUAUACAUAUUUAGAAGCAUCUUCGUAAAUUUUUGAAAGUUUUUAUAUAAUGAUUAAUAUUUUUCUAAAUAUGCAUAUAAAUCAAAUUCAGGAAUAUAACAUUCAUAUUUUAGAAAAACUUCCCAAAUAUAUAUACAAGUUAUAUUUGAUAAGUCUAUUUAUACAUUUUUGAAGAUAUUCAUGAAUUUGAGAAUUUUUAUAAAUUCAUGAAGAUAUAAUACAUGUUCAUAAAAGUCUUACUGAUUUUUUUAAAAGAAAAAUUGUUUUUCCAUAAAAAAAUUGAAAUAAAAAAUUUAAAAUAGUUUCAAAAUUUUUCAAUUUUUUUUCAUUUUUCAAUUUAUUUAAUAAAUAAUUAAUUAUAAUUAUAAAUGAGUAUAUAAUUGUCAUUUAACCAUUUAAUGAAAAUUAUUUUGCUCACUUUGAUUUUUGAAGCUAUUUAGAAAACCAAAAAAUCACCAAAUAAAGAGAUUCAAACUAUUUAGAAAACUAAAAAAUGGUUAUAAAAUCUUCACUAUACUAAAAGGAAUCGUUGACAAAAAAAAUACUAAAAGGAAUCAAUCAUCAUGUGAUGGUGGCCACCACGGGGAUCAAGUUGUCCAUAAGAGAAUAUGGCCUAUGCCUAUAGUGUUGUUUGGUGAGACAAUACAAGACAAUGGACAUAAUGCGGGACCAGUCAGAAGUGGCUUGAAUCUCUUUAUUUGCAAUAUAAAAUGAAUAUUUGAUUUUUACUAAUCACAUCUUUUACGAUAUUGAGUCGCAUUUUGCGUACUAGCCAAAGCAAUGAAAUCAAUAGAUUGUGAUAUUUGAUUUUGUAGGGUUGAACAACUAAAAUAAAGACAAAAUCGAAAUGAUUGCAACUUUUAUAUAUAUCUAAUUAUAUAAAAUAGACUUUCAAUCCUUCCCAGAGGGUCCACGUAUGCUUCCAUGUCACUAAUUAAGAUGAUCUCAAGCCGAUACGUGGCUGCUUUAACAAGCGGUUCAUUAAACGUUGUCAUGGCUUCGCAAUUAAAAGCCAACAUUUGGUUUUCAUAUUCCCAAUAAUAAUUAACAUGACCCAAUAAAAUCUAAUACUUCAGGCCCAUGAAUAAUAUAUUUUUGACGAUCUGAGUUUCGUCCUCUUUCUCUUGGGGGAACCAAGCCAUAACCUCCGACGGAUCCGUUCCCCUUCAAUUACUCGACGGAGUAACCCACUGUGAAAAUGGGAGGCAAUCAAUUUGUUCUUCAAUGCAGAUUUUUCACCUCCUAUCAAACAAUUGUACUAUAUAUGUCAUUGAGUUACUGGAUCGAAUUCAUAAAUCUUAACAUCGCAAUCAUGCAAAAGAACAAUAUUUAUGAAUUCUUCAGAGAUUUGCAGACCAGCUUGAUACCUUUUUGAUAUUUAACACGAUCAAUGUAUACUAGAGUGGACUUCUGCAAGAGAUUGUGUGGCGUUUCAGUGAUCAGAAGUAUUUACAGUGGAGAAAGCAUGUAGAACACACUAAGAGCUUGCUGCAACAGUAUUAAGAUUGGUAAAAUCUUAAUACACAUAGAGAAAAAUGAUGGUGUCAGUUGAUAUAUGAGAAGUUACCAAAAGAUAUCGCAAGCCUGACAUGUCUUCCUCCUUGACCCUGUUAUAGCUUCAGUGAAUGCUAUAUCUAAUAUCUUUGCUUAUCAGCAAGGGAGUUCCAGAAUCACAUAUUAUCUUUCUUAACGUCAUAGCAGCACCUCAAGGGAUUCAAGGGCUCUGCAAGAAACAUCCAAUGGUCUGGGAGAAUUCGCAGACCAUUACUUUGGUACAGACAACUCAAAAAAGUAUCAAGAAUAUCCAGGAAUGCCGAUUACUUCGUUCCAUUUUUCUGAUUUAAAGACGGUUGCUUGAGAGCUCAUGGCUGUGGACUUCGUUAGAAAACACCCGACAUCCCUUCGUGAAAGAGUCAUAACACUCCAAAAACAGCGAAGAAUGAAGGUCUCAACGGGGCUUUCACAGUUAGCCAAGACAAGGAUCUAUUACAACAUUCAAAAGAAGUGGACAAGUUGCAGGUCAUGUUCCCAAUCUCUAUAAUUAAAGUUAAGAUGAUAAGGUUCCAUAUUGCACCACAUUUUUGGACACAGCUCAUCUCGAAAAAGCUGCAAGACUGGCUAGGAAAAAUAUUGAGGGACUCAAAAAAGUUCUCACCUCCUAACCUCGUUUUUAACUGCAGGUCACUGUCGCCAUAUCCACCUGCACACGUAGCUCCGCAGAGAAGUGGGGAAUCUAGAAGUCUUCAAGAUUGUAGUGUUCAAACUUCUCAGAACCAGGUAGACUAUAAAACUGUUAAAUGCAAAUAAUUUUCCUGCAAAUCAAGGUGCUACCUCUCAAACAAUUAUUACCAUUUACGUCAUUUAACCCAAAUUUCUCUUCCACAUCCUCUUAUUAUUCAUAGCUAAAGCUAAAGAAAACAGAGCUCUCAGGAUUCAACUUAUAAAAUUUAAACAUCAGCAAAGUAUGGCAAAAAGUAAUAUAUUCUCCUCUCCAACCAGAUACUCAUUAUAACACAUGCAUAAAUUAUACUUUUUCGUGCAUAUGCACGGAGCAAAUCACAGUGUAUUUUUUGUGUGGCAAAUAAAUAAUGCUAUUAUUUCUAACAGAGCCAAACGCACCGUCCAUGAACAGCAGGUUCACAUAUUCAACCUUAAUACGUCCUCCUCUAUUCAGCUAACAUAAAACACUAACUAAUCUCUGGCUUCCUUACUUGCAACAGGACCACUUCAACCACGUACAAAGAACAUAGGAACCAGAAAAAGCAACAGCUCCAGCAAUUGAGAUUUGGUAACAUGUCCUAUAUCUAAUACCUCAGUGAGGACAGGUGAAGCAGUAAGGAUAGUCAACCAGCAUGCCAAUAGAAGGUUCUACAUAUGUUGUAACAAGGAAGUUGAGCUCCUACCACUCCGCGAACUUCCUUCACCUUUGAAAAAGCUCCUUGACGCACCAAUGUUCCGAGUUUUAAUACGUGUUGCGAAUGGAAUGAUUGCUUUUACUUCAUCGGGUGCUCAUGUCGAUCAUACUAUCACUGGAAAACCUGGCCAUUCAUUUACCGAAUACAUGGUCAAAACCAACACCGUAUCGGUUCACUCUUGUAUGUUGACGAAGAACCACCACAGUAUCUCCAGCUAUAUAUUUUUAUACUGUAAAUAAAAUAGGAAAAGAAGAAAGCCUUAUGAAAAGGAACAUCAACUAUAAACUUAGACAACCAAGUUUCACAUUUUCCUUCGAUUUAUAUCUCAGUUAUCCCAUCUUCGGUUUAA